GACGAACGCUGGCGGCGUGCUUAACACAUGCAAGUCGAACGGUGAAGGGACCGGUUUUUGCUGGUUCUGGAUGAGUGGCGAACGGGUGAGUAACACGUGAGUAACCUGCCCCCUUCUUCUGGAUAACCGCAUGAAAGUGUGGCUAAUACGGGAUAUUCUGCGCCUGCUGCAUGGUGGGUGUGGGAAAGAUAUUGUUUCGGUGGGGGAUGGGCUCGCGGCCUAUCAGCUUGUUGGUGGGGUGAUGGCCUACCAAGGCGGUGACGGGUAGCCGGCCUGAGAGGGUGGACGGUCACACUGGGACUGAGACACGGACCAGACUCCUACGGGAGGCAGCAGUGGGGAAUAUUGCACAAUGGGCGCAAGCCUGAUGCAGCGACGCCGCGUGAGGGAUGGAGGCCUUCGGGUUGUAAACCUCUUUCGCCAGUGAAGCAGGCCUGUCCCUUUUGUGGGUGGGUUGACGGUAGCUGGAGAAGAAGCGCCGGCUAACUACGUG
rnacentral:rRNA from 1 species